UGUAACCGUUACUGGUAAAGUCAGGCAGCAUUACCAUUCCCUGUACUGCAGAUGGGUAGACUGAGGCCGAGAGAGAGUGGCUUGCCUUAGUGAGGCCAAGCUUGUAGAGGCAAGACUCGAACCAGGCGCUCCCCAAUUCAUAGCUCAGCCUCUUAGCCCGCGGCGGCUAAACUAGCAUAUUAUUUUCUGAACGGAAUAGGGUUUUCAGUUAGAUGUUUGGUUGCAUUUGGAGAAGAGAACCCUCCACUAGCCAAAGUGAACAGCAAAGGGUCUAAAUUGAGGACCGGAAACCAAGAGCAGUUAAGAAAGGCGGCGUGAAGUAGAAACAGAAAGCUGCACACGAGGUGGGGCCGCCGUAGGAGGAAACUAGUAAGAGGACAAACUCUAAAAUCGAGAAUAUAGGAGAGAAAACGGGGGAGGGGGAAGACACAAUUUAAAAAUUACAGCAGGAAGGGAAGGAAAAAGGAGAGCUUCACAUGUGAACAGAAAGAUUGGAGAUGGUUUGGCUGCAAGAGCAGAGAGGCGGCGAGGAAGGGACCACCGUGAUGGAGAGCAAAGCGCCUGCGCCGUGGAGACUCUCCCAGCCGAACCAACGCGGCGGCCGAGCAGGAAACGACCGAGAGAGGCUGCUUGACCCUCGCUGACUUCUGCUGCUACUAUCCAACUGCAGGCGCUAGAGCUGUGGCGGCAAGGAGCGGGAGCCCGCCCUCUAGCGCUGGAGGACCGGGGGUGUUAGGAGGCCUUGACUGGGUGCGAGGAGCGACCUGCAUUCAUGUUCCUCAUGUAGUCUCGGUCGCUAAAGGCAGCGCUUAUUGUGUAGUCCCAGUGUUGUCGGUGAGAAAGAAGGUAUUUCUGUGAGCAUGUGCAAAGUGCAGUUUUCGCUGGGGAAAAGUCCUCUCCCAGACGUUGUGUUCCGCCACAAUGGCUAUGAACUCAUGGCCGCUCAGCAGGUCUCCCACUCCCUCUGUAUUUUCCUCCCACUCAUUUUUAAUAGUUUGAUUCAUUUCCCAUUUUUCUGAUAUUACAAUCUGUAUGUUAUUAAAUUGUUAAAAGGCAAAGUCUAUAAAAUAAAGAGUUGUUCUCCUGAGAUGACCAA